rnacentral:rRNA from 1 species
CUACGUGCCAGCAGCCGCGGUAAUACGUAGGGGGCAAGCGUUAUCCGGAUUUACUGGGUGUAAAGGGAGCGUAGACGGAGUGGCAAGUCUGAAGUGAAAACCCUGGGCUCAACCCUGGGACUGCUUUGGAAACUGUUAAUCUAGAGUGUUGGAGAGGUAAGUGGAAUUCCUGGUGUAGCGGUGAAAUGCGUAGAUAUCAGGAAGAACACCGGAGGCGAAGGCGGCUUACUGGACAAUAACUGACGUUGAGGCUCGAAAGCGUGGGGAUCAAACAGGAUUAGAUACCCUGGUAGUCCACGCUGUAAACGAUGUCGACUUGGAGGUUGUGCCCUUGAGGCGUGGCUUCCGGAGCUAACGCGUUAAGUCGACCGCCUGGGGAGUACGGCCGCAAGGUUAAAACUCAAAUGAAUUGACGGGGGCCCGCACAAGCGGUGGAGCAUGUGGUUUAAUUCGAUGCAACGCGAAGAACCUUACCUACUCUUGACAUCCAGAGAAUUCGCUAGAGAUAG